rnacentral:rRNA from 1 species
UACGUAGGGCGCAAGCGUUGUCCGGAAUCACUGGGCGUAAAGGGUGCGUAGGCGGGUCUUUAAGUCAGGGGUGAAAUCCUGGAGCUCAACUCCAGAACUGCCUUUGAUACUGAAGAUCUUGAGUUCGGGAGAGGUGAGUGGAACUGCGAGUGUAGAGGUGAAAUUCGUAGAUAUUCGCAAGAACACCAGUGGCGAAGGCGGCUCACUGGCCCGAUACUGACGCUGAGGCACGAAAGCGUGGGGAGCAAACAGG